AUUCCUAUUGAAUAGGAGGCUGGGUGGGCCCCAGAACCGGUCUAGACAACAUAGAGAAGAGAAAAUACUUGCCCCUACAGGGAUUCGAAUUCCGGCCGUCCAGCUCCUAGCCAGUUGCUAUACCGACUGAAAUGUCCCGGCUCCAAACAUGUUAUGGACUCUUUCAAAAUAUGAUAAAUGUUUUAUUCUGGGAUGUACCACCGUGAAGUCUGAUAGAAUUUACCGAUGUUUCAGAGGAACCCAGCAUCUUUCGGUCUUAAGGUCUAAGAAGAAAGCUUACACCUCUUAUCAGGCCAUGCAAGUUUCCUUCCAUAUCCGUUCUAAUUUAUUAUUCAUGAAAUAUUCUAAUAUUCGGUUGUAUUUAUAUAUGAGUGAUUCAGAGCUUUGUUACAUAAUCCGUAAAUUAGUAUCUUUAUUGAAAUACAUAAUUACAAUUUGCACAGCAUUAGUAAGAUUGUUAUGCUUAACGUAGGUGUUGUAAAUACUAUGUUCACUAACGGUUAGCAUAUGCAACUUCAGAUCUUAAUGUGUAAUCACUUCUUAUUCACAGCCUCACACGCAAACUCGUGUUAAAAAUCUUAACUUAAAAGAAGAAAAAAACGUUAAUUUUAAGAUUUUAACACAGGAUUCCAUGUAAGACUGUGAGCAAGAAGCUCAAAAUAAGCGAUGUGCAAUAGGAUGCUUAAUGACUAAGAUAUUUUCAAAUGAAAUGCGUGCAAUAUAUUUUGAAAUACAAUGAAAACUUGGGAAAAUUCCAACCGCCUUCUAAAAGGGCCUGCAGCUUCUUUGUCACGUAAAUUAUGAAGAAGUGUCACACAAUAGAAAGACAAGUUCACCUUCUCAUUCUUGUUUUCUUGUAGAUUACUCACAUCAGAGUUGCUGCUCCUGAGAAACUGCCUCUGUGUACCACUGUCCACUACAUCUUGCAAAAGCCGAAAACAGACAAGCCUGAAAGAGGGUGAGUGGCCGUUUGACCGGUGUCUACCCCCUAAACAGAAGGUAGAGGGGGUGCACCAAACCGUGAUGCUGCAACAAGCAUCUCUGCAGCUCCAGCUUAUGGCUGCAGAGACGAUGCAAGCAGAGGCAGUCUUCCCGCUCUGGACCAACUGUUUACUACUCACCAAACAAGCUUACCAACCCAUUCCAACAACAUCUCAUUCUAUAUGUAGUUUGCAGAAGAUGAUGUUCCCACGUUCUGAGAGUUGUUGAGACGAGAUAAGACACCGCAAAAGCUGUCAGGACACCAAGAUAGAUCAUUAGGUGAAAGGAACUGACAUCGUGUAGUCCUGUAGGGGAUAAAGCCAGUGUCUCGGAAGGAGACUUUCUACCAAAUUAUACUGUGUCUUGUCUCCAAAAAUUAUAUAUAUAGUAAUGUA